CGCACGGGUGAGUAACACGUAUGCAAUCCACCUGUAACAGGGGGAUAACCCGGAGAAAUCCGGACUAAUACCCCAUAAUAUGGGCGCUCCGCAUGGAGAGCCCAUUAAAGAGAGCAAUUUUGGUUACAGACGAGCAUGCGCUCCAUUAGCAGUUGGCGGGGUAACGGCCCACCAAAGCGACGAUGGAUAGGGGUUCUGAGAGGAAGGUCCCCCACAUUGGAACUGAGACACGGUCCAA
rnacentral:rRNA from 1 species